rnacentral:miRNA from 1 species
CGAGAUUUCGUUUGAGUGCACUU